UAGUGCAAGAGAGCUAUUUCUUGCUAAAGCAAGAAAGCAUUUUUCUUAAUAAAUUUGGAGUCGACUACAUGAAUCUUUUCCGACAUUGUAAAUUCAAAGCAAUAACGACAUAUUGAAACAUUCACAAACCNAAUAAAUUUGGAGUCGACUACAUGAAUCUUUUCCGACAUUGUAAAUUCAAAGCAAUAACGACAUAUUGAAACAUUCACAAACCAUUUAACAUUUAUUACAAUAAUACUUGAUAAUAAUAGAACUAAAGGACACAGAUUCACUCCAAACAUAAUAUACGAAAGU
rnacentral:lncRNA from 1 species